rnacentral:rRNA from 1 species
CCUACGGGAGGCAGCAGUGGGGAAUAUUGGACAAUGGGCGCAAGCCUGAUCCAGCAAUGCCGCGUGAGUGAUGAAGGCCUUAGGGUCGUAAAGCUCUUUUACCAGGGAUGAUAAUGACAGUACCUGGAGAAUAAGCUCCGGCUAACUCCGUGCCAGCAGCCGCGGUAAUACGGAGGGAGCUAGCGUUGUUCGGAAUUACUGGGCGUAAAGCGUACGUAGGCGGUUAUUCAAGUCAGAGGUGAAAGCCCGGGGCUCAACCCCGGAACGGCCUUUGAAACUAGGUAGCUAGAAUCUUGGAGAGGCCAGUGGAAUUCCGAGUGUAGAGGUGAAAUUCGUAGAUAUUCGGAAGAACACCAGUGGCGAAGGCGACUGACUGGACAAGUAUUGACGCUGAGGUACGAAAGCGUGGGGAGCAAACAGGAUUAGAUACCCUGGUAGUCCACGCCGUAAACGAUGAUAACUAGCUGUCCGGGCACUUGGUGCCUGGGUGGCGCAGCUAACGCAUUAAGUUAUCCGCCUGGGGAGUACGGUCGCAAGNUUAAAACUCAAAGGAAUUGACGG